UUCGGCGGGUUGACCGCCUCGAGCGAGUCGCCGGCAUUGCGCCAGCGGUCGGGAUCGGGCCCAAGCCAGGUGAGCUGGCCGUAC
rnacentral:misc_RNA from 1 species